CGGACGGGUGAGUAAUGUCUGGGAAACUGCCUGAUGGAGGGGGAUAACUACUGGAAACGGUAGCUAAUACCGCAUAACGUCGCAAGACCAAAGUGGGGGACCUUCGGGCCUCUUGCCAUCGGAUGUGCCCAGAUGGGAUUAGCUAGUAGGUGGGGUAACGGCUCACCUAGGCGACGAUCCCUAGCUGGUCUGAGAGGAUGGCCAGCCACACUGGAACUGAGACACGGUCCAG
rnacentral:rRNA from 1 species